rnacentral:tRNA from 1 species
GGACGGGUAGCCCAACUCGGUAGAGGCGCGUGCUCGAGAGCCACGAUGUUGAGGGUUCGAUCCCCUCCCCGUCCA